rnacentral:rRNA from 1 species
UACGUAGGGCGCGAGCGUUGUCCGGAAUUAUUGGGCGUAAAGAGCUCGUAGGCGGCCUGUCGCGUCGGUUGUGAAAGCCCGGGGCUCAACCCCGGGUCUGCAGUCGAUACGGGCAGGCUAGAGUUCGGUAGGGGAGAGUGGAAUUCCUGGUGUAGCGGUGAAAUGCGCAGAUAUCAGGAAGAACACCAAUGGCGAAGGCAGCUCUCUGGGACGGUACUGACGCUGAGACGCGAAAGCGUGGGGAGCGAACAGG